GCACUAUUCUGAUUGAGUUGCUGAUGGUAUAAUUCUCGCGUAGGGCUGUUAACUCUAAGUUGCUAUUAAAAUAGUUUGCGAGAGGUCCCGGGUUCAAUUCCCGGUUGAGCCC